UCUCAUGGGGGCUGUAGUCAGGUGGGUGCAGGUACAUCAAGGCUUGACACUAUUACUGAUGCUAUGGUGUGCUGACAGACUAGAACCUAGCAUGACUUUCCUCUGUGAGGUCAUAAAAGAAGCUGACUAAAACACACAGCGAUACUCAAACCCAAGCUUUGGACUGAAGUCAGUAAAUGCAAUGGUUGAAUUAGGGGAAGAUUGGAGAAGCUGAAGAGGAUGGUAACCCCAUAGAAAGACCAACAAUCUCAACUAACCUGGAUCCAUGGGAGCACUGGGAGACUGAGCCACCAACCAGAGACAGAAAAGAAGUGAAUUUUCAAGAGAGGGAAGGAAGAACUUGAAAUAGGGAAAAGAUGGAAGACGCUAAGGAGGAGGGCGACCCUGUAGAAGGAUCAGCAGUCUCAAUUAACCUGGACCCCAGGAUCUCUCAGACACCGAGCCCCCAACCAAGCAGCAUACACCGGAUGAUAUGAUGCCUUCGACACAUAUACAGCAGAGGACUCCCAGGUCUGGACUCAAUCAGAAAAGAUGAACCUAACCCUCAAGAGACUUGGGGCCUCAGUGAGGAAGGAGGCCUGGUGGGAUGGGUGUAAGUGGCUGGGGAUGUCCUCAUGGAGACUGGGGUAGGAGAUAUGGGAUGUGGAAAAGUCAGAGGGUGGGGCCAAGAGGUGGAUAAAGUCUGGACUGAAAAAUGAUUAAAGAAUAAAUUUUAAAAAAAGAAAAAAAAUGGAAACAAGAAAUAAGGUAGCUAAAGGGAGGGGGGCAUGACAAUAAAAUUUGAUGGGCUUUACAAAUUACAAAUGCACGUUUCACAGAAGCAUGGCAUUUUCGUGAAGAUCAGUUUCAUUUAAGCAGUCAUUUGGAACAGAAAAAAAGUGAUACACAACAUUAGAAAAACCCCUCAGAUCUUCGAUUUAAUAAAUUCAUCUCAUACCAUAAGAACACUACACGGUCCCUUAUACUGUAAGACUAAGUUCAUGGCAAACAUCUUUGCCAUCUCUCCUUCUAAGCGCUGAAGCCAGGCUUCCAUUUUCUACUUUUGUGAAGUUCAUCAUUUUUUUUUUAUUCUUCAUGUGAGAUUAUAGCAUAACAUAUGUCCUCUGUGUGUUUGGAUAAUUUUACUUACAAGAAUAAAAAAGCUACACAUCUAUGUUUUCUAGUCUUUGAUUUCUCCUCUAUUAAUACUAUAUAAGUUUCACUGUCCUCUCUUGAUAUCUACUCCUAACAUUUGCGGUGUUUAAUGUGCGCUUGUAAAAUCAGGUAAUAAUUCAGAAAUUUAGCUUCAUUUUUGGUAUAUAUUGUGGUAAAAUUUUUAUAUUUAUUUUGUACCUUUGUUCAUGUUCUUACUAAGCCUGAGUAGAUUUCUAUGUGGAUUAUUUUUACUAUGUUUCAUUAUUAAAUACUUGCUAUUUAUUUUGAGUCAUACAUUUGAAUAAAUAUUAAAAAAUAUGCUGGGAAUUAUAAUGAGAAUGCAAGUUCUUCUUUGAAUUGUCUAAGGUAAAUCUGAGUAGCAUUGAACAGACAAACACCACACUCUGUGAGUCCAUCUUCUUUUAUUUAUCAAGUGUAUAAUAGGUACACAGUGAUAGAUACACAAUAUGCAGUUCUUUACUGACUUAGUAAUGACGAUGGUCAGGACAGAACCCAGUGAUUCUGAAUGCUAGCCAAAAACUUUGUCAUGUAGAAAUAGUCAUUGCUUUUUGAUACCUUUGGAUCUCUGUGUGUGUGUGUGUGUGUGUGUGUGUGUGUGUGUGUGUGUGUGUGUGUGUGUGUGUGAGAGAGAGAGAGAGAGAGAGAGAGAGAGAGAGAGAGAGAGACUCUGCUGCUAGAGAU